AGUGGGCCUGUUUCCCUCACA
rnacentral:miRNA from 1 species